rnacentral:rRNA from 1 species
CAGAGGGGGCAAGCGUUGUUCGGAAUUACUGGGCGUAAAGGGCGCGUAGGCGGCCUUCUAAGUCGAACGUGAAAUCCCCGGGCUCAACCCGGGAACUGCGUCCGAUACUGGAAGGCUUGAAUCCGGGAGAGGGAUGCGGAAUUCCAGGUGUAGCGGUGAAAUGCGUAGAUAUCUGGAGGAACACCGGUGGCGAAGGCGGCAUCCUGGACCGGAAUUGACGCUGAGGCGCGAAAGCCAGGGGAGCAAACGGGAUUAGAUACCCCGGUAGUCCUGGCCCUAAACGAUGAAUGCUUGGUGUGGCGGGUAUCGAUCCCUGCCGUGCCGAAGCUAACGCAUUAAGCAUUCCGCCUGGGGAGUACGGUCGCAAGGCUG